CCUGGAGUGAGGUGGAAGCUGGGCGGCCUUUAGGAGAGUUUUAGGCCUUUGUGCAGUUUCUUGGGAGAUUUUGUCGAGGAUGGGAAGUCUCGGCCACCUUUCACGUUUUUGGAGUGGCAGUCUGGAUCGUGUUACUGCAAGUGGUCGGACUUGUCAGGACCGUUUUCGGGAGUUGUGGAUGUGUACCGAUUACUACGAGCCUGUGGUAAUCGAUACGCAUUUACAGACUCUGGAAAGCUUUCCUGAUUGCCUCGUGGACGAAGAGUCGGUAAGCGAAGAUCACCUCUCUCGGAGAAGCCUCUUUAAGAUGAUUUUCUGCUGAUUUGGCUGAAAAUCCUUCUAAAAACCCUAGGGAAGAGAUAAGUAUGCUAGGACUUGACAAAUAGCCGCGUAUUUAAUAUCAUUA
rnacentral:lncRNA from 1 species